rnacentral:rRNA from 1 species
UACGGAGGAUCCGAGCGUUAUCCGGAUUUAUUGGGUUUAAAGGGUGCGUAGGCGGCUUUUUAAGUCAGCGGUGAAAUUUUGCAGCUUAACUGUAACAGUGCCGUUGAUACUGGGGAGCUAGGAUUUGGUUGCUGUGGGUGGAAUGUGUGGUGUAGCGGUGAAAUGCUUAGAGAUCACACAGAAUAUCGAUUGCGAAGGCAGCUUACUGGGAUGCAACUGACGCUGAGGCACGAAAGCGUGGGUAUCAAACAGGAUUAGA